rnacentral:rRNA from 1 species
CCUACGGGAGGCAGCAGUGAGGAAUAUUGGUCAAUGGCCGGAAGGCUGAACCAGCCAAGCCGCGUGAGGGAUGAAGGCGCAGAGCGUUGUAGACUUCUUUUGUCAAGGGAUAAAAUGAGGCACGUGUGCCUUUCUGAGGGUACUUGGAGAAAAAGCAUCGGCUAACUCCGUGCCAGCAGCCGCGGUAAUACGGAGGAUGCGAGCGUUAUCCGGAUUUAUUGGGUUUAAAGGGUACGUAGGCGGGCGGUUAAGUCGGCGGUGAAAGCGCGGGGCUCAACCCCGACGAGCCGUUGGUACUGGGAGUCUUGAGUACGGGUGAGGUAGGCGGAAUGCGCGGUGUAGCGGUGAAAUGCUUAGAUAUCGCGAAGAACCCCGAUUGCGAAGGCAGCGUACCGAACGGCCACUGACGCUGAGGCACGAAAGCGUGGGGAUCGAACAGGAUUAGAUACCCGUGUAGUC